rnacentral:rRNA from 1 species
UCCAGACUCCUACGGGAGGCAGCAGUGGGGAAUAUUGGGCAAUGGGCGCAAGCCUGACCCAGCAACGCCGCGUGAAGGAAGAAGGUUUUCGGGUUGUAAACUUCUUUUGUCAGGGACGAAGCAAGUGACGGUACCUGACGAAUAAGCCACGGCUAACUACGUGCCAGCAGCCGCGGUAAUACGUAGGUGGCAAGCGUUAUCCGGAUUUAUUGGGUGUAAAGGGCGUGUAGGCGGGAAUGCAAGUCAGAUGUGAAAACUAUGGGCUCAACCCAUAGCCUGCAUUUGAAACUGUAUUUCUUGAGUGCUGGAGAGGCAAUCGGAAUUCCGUGUGUAGCGGUGAAAUGCAUAGAUAUCGCGCAGAACUCCGAUUGCGAAGGCAGCGUACCGGCGCCGGACUGACGCUGAGGCACGAAAGCGUGGGUAUCGAACAGGAUUAGAUACCCGAGUA